GCACCUGUAGCUCAGGGGAUAGAGCACCGGCCUCCGGAGCCGGGAGCGGGAGUUCGAAUCUCCCCAGGUGCG
rnacentral:tRNA from 2 species